rnacentral:lncRNA from 13 species
AUGGGGAGAAAAUGAGAAAGAAUGAGAGGAAGAGAGGGAGGAGGUGUAGUACAUAAUGAGUGCAUGUUUUUUUUUUAUCUUGAAAAACACAAAUUAGCUUCUCAUAGGUUUAUAGCAUGAUAUAAGGAGUAGACACAUAGUUUGUGUGACGGAAGUGGUUGAAAUACAGACCCGUUGUUUUAGAAGUUUCCACAUUGGUAUUGUUGAGAGUGAAGAUUAAAUAUUGAAUUCAGCUUUGUAGAGGAGUGAGUAGACAACUCAUGGAAUCUCGGACAGUUCUUCCAGGUUCAACUUAUUUUUCACAUCAUGAUGGAAGUGUCGUGCUUCAAGCUAACACCUUGCCUAAUCGGUAACACUUCAUUUGUAUAGUCUGUAGAGCAUCUACAGAUCAGAUGGGCUAUUUACAGACUACCAGUAACAUUUCAACUAACUUUCUACAAACCCCUACCCUAGCACUAACCCUUACCCUUAACCCUUAUUCUAACCCUAAACUUAACCCUAGUCCUAACCCUUAUUCUAACCCUAACCGCAACCGUAGCAAGCAGUUGCUUAUCAACAGAUAGUUUGUUGAUAGUAUGGCCAUCUGUAUUUACAGGUGGACUAUCCAAAUAAAGUGUGACCUAACUCGAGUUUCCCUUCCAGGAGAAUGUGUUUUCGUCAGCAUCUCACUGUCCGAAGUAAGCCAGGACUGCUUCUUUCAGCAUCUUUACAGCUCAGUAGACCAUUUCUGGCCAGAAGUGAAUGGUUAAAACACACAGUGCUGAAGAUAAACAUACUAUUAUGUGUCAUUCCUUACAGAAUGCAGCAGCCAUCAAAUGAAGCAUCGGGGAGUGCUGGCGGUUCGGUUGGUGGUGAAGUCGGGUCCGGGGUUUGCCGCCGAUGGAACCGGGGGUGCCUUAGCUGGAUGAUCAGGCUUCCAUGUCCUAGCUGGCUCGGGAAGUUUCUUUGCCCCAGUUGGCUCAGAAGGCGCCCAUACCAGCUCUCAGCAGGAUCGUCAGAUUUUUACGCCCAGCCGGCUCGCCAGGCUGCUACGCCUCAGCCGAAUCAUCAGGCUCCUAUGCCUCAGCCAGCUCGCCCGGCUCCCACGCCACUGCCAGUUCGUCAGGAUUUUACGCCCAGCUGGGUUUGUCCAGCGCCCGUGCCUCAGCCAGCCCAUUGGGCGCGCCCAGGUGGGACCCCAGGUGGCGCCACUAGAGGGGAGGGGGGGGGGGUUACUGUCAUGCCUGCUCCUGCUCUUUCCCCCUCGUGCUCGAGGGCGCCAGGCUGCCCUGCAAUUCCCUCGUCACGUGCAUCAGCAAAUUAUUGGACUCACCUGGACUCAAUCACCUGUUUAUUACCUCCCCAGUUACACAGCUCUGCUCUCUGCUACUGCAUUGAUUGUCUUACGUCUGUGUUUUACCCGGUUCUGACACUGUUCCAGUUCUGUUUUCAUGUCUGUUCUGACUAAAUGUUGACUCCCCGUACCUGCUUCUCUUCUCCAGCGUCAUACCUUACACUUAAUAAGUCACAGAAAAAGUUGCAUAAUUCUGGAUUUUUAACAAAGCAGACACGGAAUAUCCCUUUCAGCAUGGUGAAGAUAUUAAAUGCACUUUGGAAGGUGAAUCAAUACACACAGUCACUACAAAUAUAACAGCCAUCCUUCCUAAUUCAGUUUCAAUAGAGGAAGGCAAUUGCUCAAGGAUUUCACCAUGAGGCCAAUGAUGGCUUUGGAAUAGUUACUGAGUUUAAUAGCAACUUAAAAUGGAUCAACAACCUGGUUACUAGACAAUGCUAACCUAAUUGACAGAGUGAAAAGAAAGAAGCCUGUACGGAAUACAAAAAUUCCAAAACAUGCAUCAUGUUUGCAAAAAGGUACUAAAGUUAUAUUGCAAAAAUGUGGCAAAGCAAUUAACUUUUUGUCCUGAAUACAAAGUGUUAUGUUUGGGGCAAAUCCAAUAAAACACAUUACUGAGUACCACUCUCCAUUUCUUCAAGCAUAGUGGUGGCUGCAUCAUGUUAUGGAUAUGGUUGUAAUACUUCAGGACUGAGGAGUUUUUCAUUAUAAAAAUAAACAGAAUGGAGCUAAGCACAGGCAUAAUCCUAGAGGAAAAUCUGGUUCAAUCUGCUUUCCAACAGGCACUGAGAGGCAAAUUCGCCUUUCGGCAGGACGGAGUUGCUUACCAAGAAGAACUUGAAUGUGCCUGAGUGGCCGAGUUACAGUUUCGACUUUUGCUUGAAAAUCUGUGGCAAAACUUGUUUUCUAGCUAUGAUCAACAAUCAAUUUGACAGAGCUUGAAUAAUUUUAACAAGAAUAAUGGGCAAAUAUUGUACAAUCAAGUUGUGCAAAGCUGUUGGAGACUUUCACACAAAGACUCAGACCUGUAUCGCUUCCUAAGGUGAUUCUAGCAUGUAUUGACUCAGGGGUGUGAAUACUUAUGUAACUUAGAUAUUUAUUUUCAUUUUGUCAUUAUGGGAUAUUAUGCGUAGAUGAGUGUGAAUUUAUUUUAUAUUGAUUCCCUUUUUAAUUUAGGCUGUAACACAACAAAAUGUGGAAUACGUGAAGAGGUAUGAAUACUUUCUGAAGGCACUUCAGAAUUAUAGGUCUUUCAGUGUAUUAGAAAUUUAGAGUCAGGGGUCAGUAAAAUGUCACUGUUUCUGCAAUUUUUGUUCUAUUACUUCCAUAAUGCAAUUUAGUAUCUUAAUAAUUAGAUAUGAAAUAAGAUUUCACAUUCUACUUUAUGAGGAUUCUG